rnacentral:lncRNA from 1 species
UGGAUACAUCUAGGCUAUUUUUUUAAAGAUUUGAGAAAAGCAACACAAUUUUUUAAAAAGAAAAGAGGAUGUUGAGGAACAGUGGGGAAGAAAAUUGGGAGGUGGUACUAUGAAGAUAUCUCGGCAUUUUUCUUCUUCUGGAAAGACAAGCGAACAAACAAAAGAGCAGGUUUUAUGUUAAGACACCUUUUCUAUUGUCCUCAAAGUUGCUUGACGGUUUUUUGUAGCUUCUAUCAGAAUACUUCCCAGCGAGGAAGGCCUGCCAUGUCUCCUCUGGCUUCCCAGCUUUGCAAGACCUUGAUUUAACAUUUCCUUCCCAGGGAGAGGCUGCACCCAUGAAACCUCAGGUGAGAAGAUGUCUGUUUCUUGGAAAAUCUGAUUGAGGGGAAGCUGCUGUGGAAUUCGCUUUUGUCCUCCUGACGGUUCACAGACUCCCACUUCAGCAGCCUUGGGCUUCUCUACCCCGGCAGCUUUUCAUUGUUUUGUUCAGCACUGAUUAAUUUAGUUUCAGAGAAAAAGCCCCAAUUGUAUAUGUGUACACAUAGAAUUUUAUUGAAGCAAGUAAAUAAAUCCAUCAAAUA